rnacentral:rRNA from 1 species
CAGUCGCCGCGGUAAUACGUAGGUGGCAAGCGUUGUCCGGAAUUAUUGGGCGUAAAGGGAGCGCAGGCGGACAUAUAAGUCCAUCUUAAGAGUGCGGGGCUCAACCCCGUGAGGGGAUGGAAACUGUAUGCCUUGAGUGCAGGAGAGGAAAGCGGAAUUCCCAGUGUAGCGGUGAAAUGCGUAGAUAUUGGGAGGAACACCAGUGGCGAAGGCGGCUUUCUGGACUGCAACUGACGCUGAGGCUCGAAGGCCAGGGGAGCGAACGGGAUUAGAUACCCCCGUAGUCCCUGUCUCUUAUACA